rnacentral:rRNA from 1 species
GUUUACGGGUUAACCGUACGGUCGGUCCGUACUUAGGUUUUUCGGUUUACCCUUACCUUUCGUAAGAAAACGUAACCGUACGUAGUUCGUACUAAUUAAUAGUGGUGUUCGGUAGGAUCGAGUGUUACUUUGAAAAAAUUAGAGUGUUUAAAGCAAGCUCACGCUUGAAUACAUUAGCAUGGAAUAAUGAAAUAGGACGUUUGAUUCUAUUUUGUUGGUUUCUAGGAUCGACGUAAUGAUUAAUAGGGAUAGUUGGGGGCAUUAGUAUUCAAUUGUCAGAGGUGAAAUUCUUGGAUUUAUUGAAGACUAACUACUGCGAAAGCAUUUGCCAAGGAUGUUUUCAUUAAUCAAGAACGAAAGUUAGGGGAUCGAAGACGAUCAGAUACCGUCGUAGUCUUAACCAUAAACUAUGCCGACUAGGGAUCGGAUGAUGUUAAUUUUUAAUGACUC